CAGCCGCCGCGGUAAUACGUAGGGUGCGAGCGUUAAUCGGAAUUACUGGGCGUAAAGCGUGCGCAGGCGGCUUUGCAAGACAGAUGUGAAAUCCCCGGGCUCAACCUGGGAACUGCAUUUGUGACUGCAAGGCUAGAGUGCGGCAGAGGGAGAUGGAAUUCCGCGUGUAGCUGUGAAAUGCGUAGAUAUGCGGAGGAACACCGAUGGCGAAGGCAAUCUCCUGGGCCUGCACUGACGCUCAUGCACGAAAGCGUGGGGAGCAAACAGGAUUAGAUACCCCCGUAGUCCCUGUCUCUUAUAC
rnacentral:rRNA from 1 species